rnacentral:rRNA from 1 species
UACAGAGGGUGCGAGCGUUGUCCGGAAUCACUGGGCUUAAGGCGCGUAGGCGGGCUGUCAAGUCUGGGGUGAAAUCCCGCGGCUCAACCGUGGAACUGCCUUAGAUACUGACGGCCUCGAGGGAGGUAGGGGCAUGCGGAACUGAUGGUGGAGCGGUGAAAUGCGUUGAUAUCAUCAGGAACUCCGGUGGCGAAGGCGGCGUGCUGGACCUUUUCUGACGGCUGAGGCGCGAAAGCCAGGGGAGCAAACAGG